rfam:Fulmarus glacialis contig2414, whole genome shotgun sequence.
UCAAAGGCUCUUUUAAGAGCCACCCACCUUUUCAGUAAAAGAGCUG